rnacentral:rRNA from 1 species
UACGAAGGGGGCUAGCGUUGCUCGGAAUGACUGGGCGUAAAGGGCGCGUAGGCGGUUUGGACAGUCAGGCGUGAAAUUCCUGGGCUUAACCUGGGGGCUGCGCUUGAUACAUCCAGACUUGAGUGGGGAAGAGGGUCGUGGAAUUCCCAGUGUAGAGGUGAAAAUUCGUAGAUAUUGGGAAGAACACCGGUGGCGAAGGCGGCGACCUGGUCCUUUACUGACGCUGAGGCGCGAAAGCGCGGGGAGCAAACAGG